AGUAAAUAGCAACCUCCCUGACAAAUGACAGUAGCCUGAAAAAGUGAGGAAGUACAAUGUCAGAUGAUAUCGCCUGGAAAACGACAGUGCACAGAGAGAAACAAGAUGUACGAGGUUCAUAGAAAAAAUGCGAUUAAAUAACCACACAUGGAGGUUGUAUGAAGAAGAAAUUCACAAAAGAUUCCAAUUAUACAUAUAUAGGAGGUAGCAGACACUUUCUCACUACAUACUAUUGUGGACUUCUCAAAUGGAAAAUGACAGGCAUAUCUAUUAGACAGAAUUGAGGCACCAACAUGCAAAUUGUACAGUUGUUCUGGGCAACAAUUUCUUCCUAUGAUAAUAACCCUGGAUGUGGGCUCUUGCUGUAAACGACAUCACAAGACCAUCAAGCACUUUCAAGUCCAGCCGAAGUAGAGUGAAAGAAAAUCAUUUCUGAGAGUUAUGAAAGGUCAUGAGUGAGGAAAUGCAUUCCAGGUACUCCAGAAGGUGUUUGGACACACACGGUGAAUGACACAUGAAGAUGGAGGCAGAGAUCGGAAUGAUGUGUCUACAAGCGAUGGUCCACCAAAGAUGAUCAGCAAACCACCGGAAGCUGGGAUAGAGGCCUGGAACAGAGCCUCCCUCACAUCCCUCAGAAGGAACCAACCCUGCCAACACCUUAAUCUCACACUUCUAGCCUACAGAAUUCUGAGACAACACAUUUCUGUUGUGUACACAGAGACACAUAUUAAAUAAACCUGCUACAAGAGUAACCCGUCCAGAAAUGCAGCAAGAGGCUUCCAAAGGGCCAGAUUUAUUACAAAUUAAUCAAAUAGCAGAUCAUCUCUCCAAAUCAUCACUUCUAUCAAGCCUAUCGCUUGAGCAGUGUUACAGCACUCAGCCCUCAGGGCAAAGAUAAGUCUUCACCAUUGUCACAUGUAGCACACACAUAUUCAGCCAUAUCAUGCUGAAUGGGAAUACAGGACUUUGUAGAAACAGAACUGAUUCCUGCAGAAUAUCCUGAGAUACUUAUCAAGCUGUUAAAGGAGACAUCAGUCUUUUGUCUGUAUUGCCCUUGACACCUCCUCAAGGAAAGUAUCUAGAAAUUCUUUGUCUUCUGAAGAACCCUCAGACCUCUUAGGUCUAAUGUAGGUUAAGUGCCCUGCAGAUCUCCCUAGAAUAGAAAAGCACCUUGAAAACUGUAGUCUGACUUAAUAGACACAAAUAUAAUGAAAGCACUAAUUCAUAAGAUCCUGUUAUUUGAAGGAAAAAGCAGCAAAAGGCACAAGCUUCAGAUAUUGGUCUUGCACAGGGAAAAGCUGGAAUUCUACCCUAAAAUUUAUCAGAUACAACAAUGACCUCUAAAAAUCCAACAAGGGUAAAAUGUAUAAAGGUAAAUUACCACAUUAUCAUCCAAUUAUCAUUGCUUGUUUUGUCAAGGGUAAAUGACUAUCUAGCAGCAUUCAGCGUUUGCUUAUUGAUUAAUGCGUACAGUACCAGCACCUCUCUGCACAGCGGUCCUCGCCUUGCCUCCCACUCAAUAGCUGUGUUGAAACUGACCAUUUUAUUACAGGUUGCAGGCUGUGUAUAACUCUCCUUGCCCAUUUUAGAGGCAUUAAAUGAAAACGGAUAAAUUAUUAGAGAUUACUGGGCACUGCGAAAGAAAUAAUUGUGUUGCUUUUAUUCCUGAAAAUACAGAAAAAUCACUGUGUUUAACUGUUGUCAUAAUCGAAAUUUGAUUCCAUUCACAAACUCAAAACGGCACUUUUAUUGCUUCUCCGUCUCUCCUGCCCAUUUCAUUCUCAACAUCAUCUGACAGAACUUUAUACAAAUCUCCUAAGGACAAACAUUUCCAGUUUCACUUUUUUUCUUCCCCCAGAUAAAUCACAGUAAAUGUGGUGUUCUUAUUUCAUCUCAGAUUUAAAAAAAAGAAAACAAACCUCCCUCAGCAGAUGAAACAAAACAACCAAACUCAGACAGCAAAGAGGCACACACAACAUCUGAGAUUAAUAGACCCUAUUUCGUCUCAAAGCGCUUUCUUGAUAUAAACGAUACAUAAGGGUCACCCCACACACCACUGAAACGUAGCCUCCUCUGAGGCACAGAAACUAUAUAACCCGGAGAAACACUCACUCCUUCUUGAGGGCAAGGGGAAGUGACUUUUUGUACUGUGGUAGCUCAGAGCUUCACCCUGACCCAAUAUCCUUCAAAUCUUCUGCAAGCUGAAGAUGGAAUAAAGCAACGGCUCUAGAACCCCUCUGGGUUCAGCAGAUCAAUCCAACAACUAAUUAAACCAGAAGCAGGGGAAAGAU